CCGAGUGCAAUGACCUCAGCUCUCUGUUAGAUAUAAACAAGAAUCACUAACAACAAAUGAGACUGUAAAAAUUAACUUGGCAGUUUUGAGUUUUGUUUCCACUGAUUUGAGCUUUUAAUCUUAGUAACCAAGCAACGCAUGACUACAUUACAACACCUUGAUUUUGAAUUGCUUUACAAAACUCAUGACUUUGACUACAGUUCAAUAUUAGAAAGAAGAGUGGGGAAAAUAUUACAAAUGAACCAAAGAAAAAUCUCAGAAAACAGCUUCAACUUAAGAAAGUUUACUAAUAUCAACAUAAGUAGAAAUUGUUGACAUUAUUCACCAUUGUAACAAGUUACAUAUUAAUUUACUGACAUAAAGGACUGAGCUUCAUAACUGCAGUGAAACCAAGAAACAAAGAGACAGGGAGCAGUAUCCAUGAAGCCUUCCGCCUGCUAAUUAUUCUAACCCAGAAAGGAAAUAUCACUUAAAAUAGAUUAUUCAAAAGACCUACUCAAAAUUACUUCACAACACAAAUGAUGAUAAGUCAAUGUUGCAAGGAAUUUGCCUCUCUAAGUAAGAUAACACUAUUGGGAUAUACUACUUCAUACUAGCAUGGAUAGACUGGAAAAUUCAAUUUGUAUAUAAAAGUGAAAUUCAUAAGCUUUUCUUAAUCAUUACAAAGAUUUGAUUCAGAUAUUGGACUAAUAGAUUUGAAUCAAUUAGUCCAAUAUCUGAAAGCAUUUUGAUAUGUUUAAAACUGUAUGUUUGUUUAACCCUUCUGUAACCAUAUUUCUAUUGUUUCAAUUAUGAAUUUAGUAAAAUAACUUUGUCAUUAUUAAUGUGGAAGAGGAAAACCCAGGAAAACAUGGGCCAAUCUCAAACGCUGAAAGAGGAUGACAGGGGACCAAGAUAUGUGACACAUUACUGUACUCAAGAAGACCCACUCACCACAACAGAACCAAGGUGCCACGUAAAAAGCACUGGUGCUGGUGCCAUGUAAAAUGUACUGGUGAUGGUACCAUGUAAAAUGCACCUAGUACAUUCUUUUAAGUGGUUAGAAUUAGGAAGGGCAUGAAGCCAUAGAAACCAAGCUUAAACAGGCUGGAACUAUGUGUGGCCCCUGGCCUUACCAGUUCCUGCUAAGACAUCCAACCCAUCCCAGCAUGGAAAACAGAUGUUAAAUGUUGAUGAUGAUGAUAACAAUGUUUGGUAAUGUAAAUUAACCUGAAAGUUUAAUAGAACUUUUUGAUUUAUAUCACUUUAAAACUGGAAGUUUAUAACAUAGAAUUGGGAGCAGGCUGAUAUCAAAAGGGAUAUAACACUUUUAGAUAUGAUUUAUGGGUUUAUAUAUCAAUGAUUAGCAGCACAACAUAUCUAUUGGUUUCAAGCAUGAUAACUCACUCAACCCUUUAGCUUUUAAUCUUGCCAUAUUCAGCCCAAAUAUUCUACCUGCUUUAUGUUCAAAUUGACCAGAUCUGGUCUCUCAUACCUAUCCUACUAUGUCAUUCUAAAAAUAAAGUCAUAUUAUCAAAAUCUCAAAGCUUCAAAAUAAUGCAUGAUUAAUCCAAAACAAUAUGAAUAUAAGAGUAACAUUUGACAGUAAUCAUCAUCAUCAUCUAAUGCCCAUUUUCCACGCUGGUGGUUUUACAGGAGUUGGCUAGCUGAAGAGCUGGCUGAGCUCCAUGUCUGCUUUGGCAUGGUUUCUAUGGCAGGAUGCCCUUCCUAACACCAACCACUCUACAGAGUGUACUGGGCACUUAGAUUCUGCAGUAUCAAAUCAUGUGCUUUGUUACAGACAGUGCAGAAAUACAGUGAAAUACAAUCAUUGGAAAUAUAUGAAACAAUAAAAUAAAUUGUUUUCUCGGAACUUUAAUUCUAGCAAUCUCAGUGUAAAUCUUUCUGUGGCUGUGUGAUUAAGAAGCUUGCUUCCCAACUAUAUGGUUGUGAAUUCAGUCCCAUUGCAUGGCACUUUCUACUACAAUCCUGGGCCAACCAAAGCCUUGUGAGUGAAUUUAGUAGAUGGAAACUGAAAGAAGCUUGUAUAUCUAUAAAUAUGCAUGCGUCUGUGUGUGUAUUAGUGUGUACUUUCAUUGAGACAUCAUGGGAUGAAUGUAAAUGAGCAUCGUCAUCAUAAAAGCAAGGUUUUUUUCAUUUCUUCAAUUAUGGAAAAAUAUUACCUUGCUAGAAAAUAGUUGAGGGUUGGCAACAAGAGGGGCAUCUGGCUGUAGAAAAUCUGCAUCCCAUCAACAAAUUCUAUCUGACCCAUGCAAACAUGGAAAAGUGGAUGUUAAAUGAUGAUGGUGAUAAGAUAUCAUUAUCCUAAUUUUCUCCAAAAAUUAUCUUGAAAAAUCGUUUUCAGCUAAUAAUAUAUUUUAUGUUUUCCAUAUAUGUCUAGAUAUAGUUACACACAGAAAAGUGCUUUUUUUUAAUAAUUUUUAAAUGUUUUAAUGUAAUUUCAAAAUGUGUAAUUUGUAAUAAAAAGAAUUUUUAAGAGUCAAACAUUAAUUUAAGCACUAAAUAUUAUAAGCAGAAAGUGAUUAUGCCAUGUUCAAACCUUUUCCCUAGAGUUUUAGCAAUGUAGGUAUAAUUAAGAAUCAAAAUAAAACCUUACAGUGCAGACCACACAAAUAAAACAUCAACAUAAAUAUACCAUAAUAGAUGACAGAGACAAUUAAAAAAUGGCUGCACACUUCACACUGAAGUCAAAAUAACUUAAUAUCAUGAACAAAUUAUUUUUACAAUUUUUGUGAAAUCUGUCUGUCUGUGACAUAAUUUCUGGUUGGGUUCACAACUCUCCCUCUUUCUCUUGCUCUCUCCCUCUUUCUCUUGCUCUCUCCCACAGUAUGUAUGUUCACAGUCACACACAUUAUAUUUCUCAGCACAGCUGUCAAAGACAUUAAGCUACCACUUUUGAAAAUAAAAAUAAAAGUCUCAAAAAAGUUAAUUUUUAUGUGGAAAAAAAAAACUUAUAAAUCUCCAUUCUUUGAAUUUCUCUUUAAAAAAAAACUAAUAAAUAAAUAAUAGUUUUUCUUUGUUAAAUUUUAAUCAGUUGCUUUCUUUACAAUACUACUAACAUGUUCACAUAUGGUCAGUUGUAUCACUCUCAGUAGAGUUGGGAAUCUGUCAAAGGUAGAGAUUUUUGCCAGUUAAAGUCAAUUUACUAUACCAAAAUGAUCUAACAGACAUCCUAAUUAUAAAAAUAUUAAAUUCACUAAAAACAUUGUCUACAUAGACAUUGUUGAUUGUCAAAAUUUCCAGUCUGUGAUUUAUUGCACAUAAUGUCAUAUACAGAAAUAAAAAUGUAUAGAAACUAA